rnacentral:rRNA from 1 species
UGGGGAAUAUUGCACAAUGGGCGCAAGCCUGAUGCAGCCAUGCCGCGUGUAUGAAGAAGGCCUUCGGGUUGUAAAGUACUUUCAGCGGGGAGGAAGGGAGUAAAGUUAAUACCUUUGCUCAUUGACGUUACCCGCAGAAGAAGCACCGGCUAACUCCGUGCCAGCAGCCGCGGUAAUACGGAGGGUGCAAGCGUUAAUCGGAAUUACUGGGCGUAAAGCGCACGCAGGCGGUUUGUUAAGUCAGAUGUGAAAUCCCCGGGCUCAACCUGGGAACUGCAGCUGAUACUGGCAAGCUUGAGUCUCGUAGAGGGGGGUAGAAUUCCAGGUGUAGCGGUGAAAUGCGUAGAGAUCUGGAGGAAUACCGGUGGCGAAGGCGGCCCCCUGGACAAAGACUGACGCUCAGGUGCGAAAGCGUGGGGAGCAAACAGG